GGAAUAUUAUCUAAAGAAAGAAAGUUCACGGGCUGGUUACAGACUUCAUUUUUCACAUGCCAUUGAAGGUAAAAGAGCUUCAUACAAAAGGAGAUGAGGCAGCGAGAAUCGCGGCAUCCCAGAGUUCCCUAGAACCUCCCACGUCACCCAGUCAUGGCUUCCAGUACCUUCUGAGACUGGUGUCGCUGUAUAAGUUUGUCUGUCUGGCGGGGGACCUCCUGCCCCCCUCCCUCUACGUACCCUACAUCCAGAUGUUGAUUGGUCU